rnacentral:rRNA from 1 species
AUAAUCAUUUGCCUUAUAAUUGAAGGCUUGUAUGAAUGGUUUGACGAGAGCAUUGCUGUCUCUUUUUUAAUAAAUAGAAUUUGACCUUUAGGUGAAGAGGCCUAAAUAUAAUUGAAAGACAAGAAGACCCUAUCGAGCUUAAAAACUAAGUUAGGAAUAAUUAUAAAUUUAGAUUUACUGCUAAUUCAUUUUUUAAUUGGGGCGAUUAAGGAACAGCAGAAGCUUCCUUUUCUAUUUUAACUUAUAAGUAUUGAUCCAGCUAAAGCUGAUUGAAAGAAUUAGUUACCGUAGGGAUAACAGCAUAAUCUCUCUUAAGAGACCUAAUCGAAAGAGGGGGUUGU